GACGUAGGGCGCGAGCGUGUCCGGAUUUAUUGGGCGUAAAGAGCUCGUAGGCGGCUUGUUGCGUCAGCUGUGAAAACCCGCAGCUCAACUGUGGGCUUGCAGCUGAUACGGGCAGGCUUGAGUUCGGUAGGGGAGACUGGAAUUCCUGGUGUAGCGGUGAAAUGCGCAGAUAUCAGGGAGGAACACCGGUGGCGAAGGCGGGUCUCU
rnacentral:rRNA from 1 species